CUGCCAAUUACUGACAGCAUAUAAAGGUCCAUGGGAAGGAGAAGACACACACACUUCAGAACCAUCGCCUUGCAGUCCACCUGAAUCUGCUCCCCUUGACAGCAUGCGUUGUAACUACUACGGCAACUCCUAUGGCUAUGGCUGUGGAAACAACUAUGGCUGCGGAUUGAGCCCUUAUUAUGGCUGUGGUUAUGGAACCAGAUGUGGCUGUGGAUAUGGGACUGGCUGUGGAUAUGGUUCAGGAUACGGCUGUGGAUAUGGCUCCUGCUGUGGCUGUGGAUAUGGCUCUGGCUACGACAGUUACAGGCCAGUCUGCUACAGGAGAUGCUAUUUUUCUUGCUGCUAGAGUAUCACCACCUAAAACACCAUUUAUGUCUGAAACCACACAUCUAAGAUAAUG
rnacentral:lncRNA from 1 species